CGACUUAGGCGAUUGGCUUUUGGUUCUCCCUUCGGCCAAUAAGGAACGAGGUAUUGCAGGCAAGCUCGGCAGACGGGAGAGCGGCCGCCGGUCACCAUGGCGACCGCGCGAUAGAGGCACUGCGAAGGGGCGACACGCCCCCUUGUCUUAUAGGCCAGAAUUUCACCGGUGUAGCAACGCGGCCUUCCUCCCCGCCCCAAGCCAAGGGCCAGCCCUGCCCUUUGCGAAGCGCCGGCACCCUCGGGCAGGCGCCCGUGGAUGCGGACUCCAGCCCCGCGGGGGGCACACACAGGCACCGGGCCUUUCUGGGGGUCUUCAGCUCCCGCUGCUCGAGCGCCUGCUGGGCUUGUACGGUGAAGCCGCCGCCAGGCGGGCAGGGUGAUCCGGCCGCGAAUGUUGUGUGGAAGUAGACUGCCAUUGGCCAUGGAGGCUCCAUUGAGAUGCCAUGCCUAGCAGCGGGGUUGGAACUCCGCCUCCUCUUUUCAUGUGGGUGGGUGUCCCGCCCCAAUGAGGGCAGCGGGGUGCGGGGGGGGCGCGCUUCCUCAUAUUCAUCCUAAGUCCACCCGCAGUCAAAUCACACCCCCCCCCCCCGCAAAAGUAAAGUCCAAAUAUGAGAGGAGGAGGAAAACUUGGGCCCGCUUUCUUUCUCUACACUGGUGCCUCUUGCUCAGCAGUCUCAGAGUGUCCCCAGAGUGGCCAAGCUGGGAAACCGCAAAGCAGCCGGAGAUCUCCUUGGCAUGCCCACUGAGCUCCUACCAAGUGCAGUCAUGGAUGCAAAUGCAGAAGGCAUUAAAAGAGGACCAACACAGCUACCUCCCUGAACACUGGAAGAGGAUGAGGCUAGCCUCCAAGUUCUUCCUCUACAAAUUGAGGCAGUUUGCUUUUCACGGGGAUUACCAAGUGAUGGAGAUAAUAUUGCAUUCAGACCUUGCCCUUCAGAGGCACCACACCUCUGAUCCUAGAGGUCCUAGACACAGUCAUCAUGACUAUUAGCCACCAGAGCAAUAUGACCAGCUGCUACCAACCCCAGCAAGCAUGACCAAUGAACAGAUCUUAUUACAGGAGAGAAGCGGCUGCAGAACAGCCCAGAAUUCCAGCAGCCAACUGCCCACCAGACCUGUUAUGAAAAAGUAGAAAGUGCAUAUAUAGCCCACAAGCCUGGUGGAGGCAAUAAAAGAUGCCUUCGACUUCCAUUCAUCACUUUGUCAUCUUCAGCUACAUUCAGAUAGUGGUUAGCAGAGCUCACAACAUGGGCAAAUUAACACAUACGAGUCCCUUGCUGGCUUCCUCCUCUCAUAGCUUCCCACAGGAGAUAUAUAUUCCAUUUCCAUGGCUCCUGCCUCCUCUCCUCUUUGGGCCCCAUCCCAGAUGGAAACAAAAAAGAACUCUUAGGGUAUGAAAUGGGAUGGGGGUGAAGAAGGGAGAGUGUGUCACAGGCAGCAGCAGUUGCAGCACAGCCAAGGGGCUGUACAGUUGCUAGGAAUUAUUGUGGCAAUGUGACACAGCUUUCCCCCUCCAUCAUACUGAAGCAUGGUUGCUUCUGGUACUGAGGGGCUGAGAAGUUAAGAGGUCUGCCCUAAAAGAUUUGGCAGUGCAAAGAAGACAGCUUUGCCCUCAAACCCUGCUGCUCAUAAGAUGCCUGGAGGCACCUAGGUGGCUGUUGCUGUCAGAACAGGGUAGUGGGCUAGGUGGACCUUUUGUCUCAUCCCAUACAACUGCUCUUACAUUCUUAUACCCAGAGUAUCUGCUGUGGAAGUUGCAGAGGGUGCAAUGGAAACAGAACAGCUGUCCUACCCCGCCUGCAGCGUCAACUCUGGUGUGCCACUGCUCCCAAGAGCCCCUUUCUGUUCCUUCAGGGAAGAGGACCAACCUGGAUCUUCUACUCUGUCCCUGAGCUCCAGGCCUCAGCCUCUUGCCUGGCCUUGAAUAGCUGUCUGUCAGUGACAAUGCUGAGAAACUCAAAGCCAGUCUCCAAGAAAUCCAUGCCUCAGGUCUCUAGGGUCACAGCUGAGUUCGUGAAGAUCACACAAAUCAUUGGGAUCUCAUCUCUUAAACUUUAAAUCCACUGCCAGAAGAUAUAAAUAGCUUGGACACAAGCCAAUGUAAUCUACCCUUCCACUGUGCAGUGUGUAUAUACAUGGACAUUCAAAAUAAACUACAACACAGAAACUGAUCCUGCUGGAUUAAGACAAAUUUGGAUUUUAAUGCCCAGCUUUGCUCAGAGUCCUAGAGUUCAAGGGUCGAUAUAGUAGAUUGCAAGAAGGGUAUAGGUUAGUCAAGCUUCAACAUUUUAUCAUAAUAAACCAGAUGUGGACAAAACACCAAGUUGAAGCCCAUAAAUCUAUUACAGUGAACUGUCAAUGUCCCCCACGGCAGGGUCAUUUGUUAAUUCAUAGCUGGGUCUCUUUUUUCAACAGACCUUGUAAACUCUUUCCUGAAACAUCAAUAAACCAUCUGCUUUGACUAGUUAAUCAAAUGACUUUAUUCAGUCCAAAGCCAUUUUUUCCUAAUAAAAACAGAGUAUUUAUCUCCACGGCUAUAAAAGAGGAUUGUUUUCAACUAUUCACUUAUAGUUAAGAAGCGCAUUUAGUCUGGAUUGAUUUCCAAUGCCUUGGUCAUAUCCUGUCACUUUCCAUUUCUUACACACAACAUCUCAGUUUAGCUACUUAGCAGCGAAAAAAACACAACCUAACUUGGGGCUGGGCACCAGUUC